rnacentral:lncRNA from 1 species
UGGUGGCAAUUUAAAUGGCUAAGUGGGGACAAUGAGAAUUAAUUGAGAGGGAGCAAAUUUAUAAAAGCACAAAACUCUAUACAGUAAGGCCAAUUUAAAGCAAUUAAAGCAAACAACCCAAAUAGUAAAUGAAAAUGCUGAUAACUAAUAAGUCAUAACUCAUAGUCAAUUGUGAGACUGAGAAUCCAUCCUUUCACACUUUUAUGGGAGAGAGGAUAAUAACCAAACUUAAAAUGCUAAGCAUUUAAUAAUCAAAGCAUUCAUAGAGGUUAAGCAAACAAAAUUAAAACAUUAAUAAUAAAGACACUCACUCGUUCUAAAGGUAAGAAAAAUGCAGAAGCACUAGAAGACUUGCUGCCAGCAUUCAAGGCCACAGCCCUGCCUUGCCAAUCAAUCACUGGGGAACCACUUGAACCACCCUUAGUCCCUGAUGCAGCCUAAAGGUAAAGAUACAAGUCAAAACAAUAAAUUAAAUAUUAU